rnacentral:lncRNA from 1 species
CAUGAGCAUUCGGGUUUUAUGUUGAACACCUGGUACCCAUGUAGCCUGGCCAGUGUCCAUUCACUAACAAGUUCUGGGCAGUAAAGAAACAGAAUUUGGGAGGUGAUCAGAGUGUAGCUAGUCUUGUCAACUGCAGUCUUUGAAUGAGCAGCUACAAAAACAGACUUAAUGACAAUGCUAAAGUCAUGACUGACCAGAAAGAAAUGGAUCUCUCUGCAGCACAUCAUCUAUGAAUGGAGUGGAGAGCAUUUGCCAGGACAGAGGCAAAACUUGGUAAGGACAACUGUGUAAAAUUUCAGUACCUUAAAAAAGGGUGCAGA